AAGGAAAUUCCUCAUCCUCAACACAAGCAAGAGAGGCUCCUAGAGUAAAUCAUGAAGAAUCCAAAAAUGAAUGUAGAGCACGAGGAGGAAAACAACUGUCCAGCCACUCUCUGGCUAUAAGGACCCUGAGCAGACUGAAUUGAUGGUGUCCAUAGGUCAUACCUGAAAAGGGAUUCAGGAUCCUUGCAGCACCGGAAGUACAAUGAAGUACUGGCCACCCAUCUGCUCCCAGCCUACAAGAGAUCCAAGCUGGAGACUAUACCACAGUCCCAAAUCCUCCCUCCCCACCUUCAGCUGAUCCCACCACCAGCUGCACUCCUUCCCCAUCCACAAAGUGCAGCAUGGCAUCUCAGCCAACUCAAAGCAGCAGAAGUAUAGCGAGCCUGCUAUUCCCAUUUUAAAUUUCUGUGCUGUAAAUAGUCAAAGGAGCAACAAAGAAAUCAGAGGCCUGAGGAGGAUCGGGAGGCAGGGCGGAAGCCAUCAACACAGCCAGCCUGCCUGCCAGUCCCCUCCCUAGCCUGCACCCCCGCUGCACAACCCCCUAGCGAGGCCCUGAGGCCUUCCCCUCCACCCAUACCCCAGCAGCAGUAGUGGAGCCCCAAAUGGAACCAACUUCCUCCAGGGCAUCUCCUACAGAGGAAACUAACUGCACACUGGGCAGCUUGGACAGCUGCAGGACCAGUAGAAUUUGCCCUGAGGUAUGACCCAGCCUUUCCCUAUGGAAACAGCCAGGGCUAGCAGGGGACCACGGGGAAGUUCUUCACCUUCCUCUGCAGGCACUUGUGUUUCAGGUCAGCCAGAAAGAACCAGCAUGAGGCUGAAAGCAGAGUGCAGACAGCAAAACCUCAGGUGGUGGGCAGCAGGGCAAGACUGAACACUAUACCUACAGGAAAGCGUGUGGGAAGGUCAAGCUGGCUCCCGGCACUUUCCAUGCAACAGGGAGGUCCUGAGCUCCAGGGAGCCCAAGGAGAUGGGGCAGGAGAUGGACCAUGCUGGAGGCAAAGAGCUGCAGGUGGGAGGGAGCAGAAAACAUGCACUGCUGUGCAUGGCCCACCUGGCUGAGAGGACCUCAUGCAGUGGAGGACGCAGGUGUGCAAGCUGCUCAGCGGGAUCAAAUCAGGAGGAAAUCCCAUACCUCCCUGGCUUUCAAAAGCAUUGUCCCCAAGAUAAGUGCUGACCUGAA
rnacentral:lncRNA from 1 species